rnacentral:rRNA from 1 species
UACGGAGGGAGCUAGCGUUGUUCGGAAUUACUGGGCGUAAAGCGCGCGUAGGCGGCUUUGUAAGUUAGAGGUGAAAGCCCGGAGCUCAACUCCGGAACUGCCUUUAAAACUGCAUCGCUUGAAUCCAGGAGAGGUGAGUGGAAUUCCGAGUGUAGAGGUGAAAUUCGUAGAUAUUCGGAAGAACACCAGUGGCGAAGGCGGCUCACUGGACUGGUAUUGACGCUGAGGUGCGAAAGCGUGGGGAGCGAACCGG